GCGCGGCAUCUGGAAACUGCAAAGUCAGAGCCGCGAUGUUCCGGAUUGAGGGCCUCGCGCCGAAGCUGGACCUGCAGGAGAUGAAACGAAAGAUGCGCGAGGAUGUGAUCUCCUCCAUAUGGAACUUUCUCAUCUACGUGGCCCUGCUGCGAGUCACUCCAUUUAUCUUAAAGAAAUUGGACAGCAUAUGAAGACUGGACAUCUCAUAUGAAUGCACGAUAUGAAGAGCCUGGUUACAGUUUCGACUCCUCUCUGCAAGUGAAUAGGCCCAGAAAGGUGUAAGAGACUCUUUGAAUGGACAUAAAAUUCUGCUUGUUAAGAACAAGUUUGGCUCUGGUAAUUGACGUUCAAAGCUAAAAUUUAAAACUAUUUGGGAAGUAUGA